rnacentral:rRNA from 1 species
UACGUAGGUGGCGAGCGUUGUCCGGAAUUACUGGGUGUAAAGGGAGCGUAGGCGGGGGUUUAAGUUGGAUGUGAAAUACCGCAGCUCAACUGCGGGGCUGCAUCCAAAACUGGACUUCUUGAGUGAAGUAGAGGCAAGCGGAAUUCCUAGUGUAGCGGUGAAAUGCGUAGAUAUUAGGAGGAACACCAGUGGCGAAGGCGGCUUGCUGGGCUUUUACUGACGCUGAGGCUCGAAAGCGUGGGGAGCAAACAGG